GCCUACGGGGGGCAGCAGUAGGGAAUCUUCCACAAUGGGCGAAAGCCUGAUGGAGCAACGCCGCGUGGGUGAAGAAGGUCUUCGGAUCGUAAAACCCUGUUGUUAGAGAAGAAAGUGCGUGAGAGUAACUGUUCACGUUUCGACGGUAUCUAACCAGAAAGCCACAGCUAACUACGUGCCAGCAGCCGCGGUAAUACGUAGGUGGCAAGCGUUAUCCGGAUUUAUUGGGCGUAAAGGGAACGCAGGCGGUCUUUUAAGUCUGAUGUGAAAGCCUUCGGCUUAACCGGAGUAGUGCAUUGGAAACU
rnacentral:rRNA from 1 species